rnacentral:rRNA from 1 species
AGGACGUGACAAGCUGCGAUAAGUCUGGGGGAGCCGCACAUAGGCAUUGAUCCCGGAAUUUCCGAAUGGGGAAACCCGGCAGAGCAAUACUCUGUCAACGUGCGUUGAACAAAAUAGGCGUACGUGGGGAACCGCCUGAACUGAAACAUCUAAGUAGGGCGAGGAAGAGAAAUCAACCGAGAUUCCGCUAGUAGUGGCGAGCGAACGCGGAAGAGGGCAAACCGGAGGAUUUAUUCUCCGGGGUUGUGGACUUGCACACGGUAUACUAGGUUAGCUGAACGGUAUGGGAAGGCCGGCCAGAGCGGGUGAGAGCCCCGUAAGCGAAAACCGAAGUAUGCCAGCGAGGAUCCAGAGUACCGCCGGACACGUGAAACCCGGUGGGAAGCUGGGGGGACCACCCUCCAACCCUAAAUACUACUCGAUGACCGAUAGAGGAGCAGUACCGUGAGGGAAAGGUGAAAAGGACCCCGGGAGGGGAGUGAAAUAGAACCUGAAACCUUGUGCUUACAAGCACUCAGAGCACGUUAAAGUGUGAUGAGGUACUUUUUGUAGAACGGUCCGGCGAGUUAUUGUACGGAGCAAGCUUAAGGUGUUGAGCACCGGAGGCGAAGCGAGAGCGAGUCUGAAUAGGGCGAAUAUAGUUGCGUGCAAUAGACCCGAAACCAGGUGACCUAUCCAUGGGCAGGUUGAAGUGGGGGUAAAACCCCAUGGAGGACCGAACCGACCCCCGUUGCAAUGGUGGCGGAUGACCUGUGGAUAGCGGAGAAAUUCUAAUCGAACUUGGAGAUAGCUGGUUCUCCCCGAAAUAGCUUUAGGGCUAGCGUUAGUUUAGAUUACCGGAGGUAAAGCACUGAAUGGGCUAGGGGCUGAUAAAGUUACUGAACCCUAUCAAACUCAGAAUGCCGGAUAAUUGAUGACUAGCAGUCAGACUACGUGAGAUAAGUCUCGUGGUCAAAAGGGAAACAGCCCAGACCCACAGCUAAGGUCCCAAAGAUACGCUAAGUGGAAAACGAUGUGGAAUUGCGAAAACAACCAGGAUGUUGGCUUAGAAGCAGCCACUCAUUAAAAGAGUGCGUAAUAGCUCACUGGUCGAGUGAUUCUGCGCGGAAAAUGUAACGGGGCUAAGCGUAACACCGAAGCUUGGGAUGCACGUAAGUGUGUGGUAGGGGAGCGUCGAAUGAGGGGUGAAGUCG